AUUGAACGCUGGCGGCAUGCUUUACACAUGCAAGUCGAACGGUAACAGGCCUUCGGGCGCUGACGAGUGGCGAACGGGUGAGUAAUGCAUCGGAACGUGCCCAGUCGUGGGGGAUAACUAUCCGAAAGGAUAGCUAAUACCGCAUACGAUCUGCGGAUGAAAGCGGGGGACCUUCGGGCCUCGCGCGAUUGGAGCGGCCGAUGUCAGAUUAGGUAGUUGGUGGGGUAAAGGCUCACUAAGCCAACGAUCUGUAGCUGGUCUGAGAGGACGACCAGCCACACUGGGACUGAGACACGGCCCAGACUCCUACGGGAGGCAGCAGUGGGGAAUUUUGGACAAUGGGCGCAAGCCUGAUCCAGCAAUGCCGCGUGCAGGAAGAAGGCCUUCGGGUUGUAAACUGCUUUUGUACGGAACGAAACGGCCCUGGUUAAUACCUGGGGCUAAUGACGGUACCGUAAGAAUAAGCACCGGCUAACUACGUGCCAGCCGCCGCCGUAAUAC
rnacentral:rRNA from 1 species